GAUGAACGCUGGCGGCGUGCCUAAUACAUGCAAGUCGAGCGAACAGACGAGGAGCUUGCUCCUCUGACGUUAGCGGCGGACGGGUGAGUAACACGUGGAUAACCUACCUAUAAGACUGGGAUAACUUCGGGAAACCGGAGCUAAUACCGGAUAAUAUAUUGAACCGCAUGGUUCAAUAGUGAAAGACGGUUUUGCUGUCACUUAUAGAUGGAUCCGCGCCGCAUUAGCUAGUUGGUAAGGUAACGGCUUACCAAGGCAACGAUGCGUAGCCGACCUGAGAGGGUGAUCGGCCACACUGGAACUGAGACACGGUCCAGACUCCUACGGGAGGCAGCAGUAGGGAACCUUCCGCAAUGGGCGAAAGCCUGACGGAGCAACGCCGCGUGAGUGAUGAAGGUCUUCGGAUCGUAAAACUCUGUUAUUAGGGAAGAACAUAUGUGUAAGUAACUGUGCACAUCUUGACGGUACCUAAUCAGAAAGCCACGGCUAACUACGUG
rnacentral:rRNA from 1 species